UCUCCUUGUCCAAAUCUAAAUAGGACUGCAUAUAUUUUAUAUAAAAAAACAACAUAGCAAUUUCUGCCUUUGCCUGGAUCAAACUUUCGUCUGGCCCCUCUCUAACCAUCCCGAUUCGAAAUCAAAUAGAUCAAAUAGAUUUCCUUAGGUCACCUAAAUCAAUCAGCAAGCGGGGUGCUAGAGAAAGGGACCAAACCGAGACUGAACCAAAAUUCCCACAUCCAUCCAAAUCCAAACCAAAGUCGGAACUCUUGAAAGACGGCAACUUAUAAAAUCAAAUCAAUAGGCGUUGACGACCUCGGUGAUGCGGUCGUACAACAUCACGGAAGCGCACCGAGUCAGGCCUACUUUGGCAAUUCGGGGUUAUUAGCCCAGGGAACAAAACAGAGGGGAGGGAUUUUUUUUUUUUUUUUACAUGUAGAUCCCCCUGUUGGGAUUCCACGUGGGGGGUUAUUUCCCGGCUGCUGUUUGGAAGCAGCUGCAGGGGAGAGAUGGAUGCAUGCAUGCACGAUCAGCUUGAGCAGCUCCAGCAAGCAGCAUACAUGCACGGAUUAGUUUUUCGUGAUGACUUGUGAUUCUGUGCUGUACAUCUACAAUGUCUAUGAUUCCAGAAACAAGUCUUGGCUUAUUUGAUAAGUGUACUAUAGAUAUAGUAGUAUAAAAGCGUCUUAAAAAAUAAGAAAAUUCAAAAAACAAACAAAGUCAUUACAUAUCAAUGCUAGCAUCUCAUAGUGAUAGAAAAAUCUCAAUAAUAAGUAUGUUUACAUAAAAAUAUAUAGGCGUUUCAAACUGAAAUCAAGUCUUUGCACAACUACAUAGAAGCCAGAAAUAUCAGCUAUCAUUAUAAAAUUUGACCACACUUCACUUGUCUCAAAUAUGCAUUUGUUCCACCAAAACCUCUGCAAAUAACAUAACGAAAAUAGUAAGCCCUUGUAACUGAUUUUUUCCCACAAGUUUGUAUAUGAAUGCAUCAUAUAAAAAAAGAAGGUUAAAGAAUAAAGUUGCAGCAAGCUAACACAUGCAAAUGCAGUCUAGUUCUGACUAACCAGUGGAGGCUUUUCUUUUCUUUUACAUACACAAGCAUGGAGUCUAAUGGAAAAUUAUCUAGUGGCUACACCUGUCAACUAAGUUCCAAUUUAAUCAAUAUUUAGAAUUAAAAAAAAGGAGAUUCUGGCAAGUAGGACAAUCAUGUGUUCUCGGAGACAAACCGUACUUAACAAAUAUAUAGUACACAUCAGUUAAGCAUUAAAACUGAACCUAAACCUGAACUUGAUUACUAAUGUUGGUUGUUGCAACUAAAUAGACUUAAAUAAAAUAACCAAACCUGAACAGAACCUUUACCCAAUAGACUAGACUAAGACUACUAAACUAAACUAAACCAGAACUUGAUCAGUUGAUCCUGAUUACUGCAACUAAAUUUAACUAAAUCUGAACCUGAAACUAAAACUUAAACCUUAAAUCAAUGCAUAUGCAAAAGCAGUUCCAAUUUAAUUAACUUAAUAUAUUAAAAGUAACAAACUGAACUACGACAUCACAUAUGCAAAAUGUCUUGUACAGGCAAAAUAUGUAGUUACUAGCACAUCAGGUUCUUAAAAAGAUGAUAUAAUGUCUUGUACAAGCAAUGACAUGCAACAUUGGCAAGUGCAAGCUGUUGUUCAAACAAUAUACCUGCAUACAAUGACUGCAGGUGCCCUUUUCUUCUCAAUUCAAAUAUUGCCUCCACCAACAUUGCCUCCACUGAUAGAACUGCAAGUAAGCACAAGGAAAAGCAUUAGCAGGUAAGGCAUCCCAAAGUAAACUAAUCUAUUGGCAGCUAAGCAUUACCUAAUAUGCUGUUUGAGCCAAAUCAAGCGAACAUUUUUUAAUCAUUUAUCAUAUAGGAAAAGCUCUGUUUAUUCAACACAAAACUAGCAAUAACUGAGCGUUCAGUCAAGUUCGUUCAGUCAAGUUGCUAAGAUCCAGACAAUUAAAUUUCACUCUUGCACGCGUUCAGUUAGCUUACUAUCAACAAGCCAUGUCCAGUUUGCCAUAGAAAACAGUAUCCAUCUCACUAAAAGAUGCAGCAGGCAAUAAGCAUGCAGUUAAGUACCUGGCAAAGAGGAGAAGUGGCAACAACACUUUAAUUUUCCAGCGGUAACCAUUUAGCGUUAAUAACAUGAAAAGUUCUUAAAAGAUUCUAACAUAGUACCUCCAGUGGUCAAUCUAAUAUGUACAAUAACAUUACUAAAAACUGGAGCUAGACCAAAUUACUUGCACAGGGCUUCUCAACUUCUCAUAAGGAGUAAGGGAACCUUCAUUUACAGAUGUAUGUCACAGCAGUAUGUGCAAAACAAAAAAAAAAUUCUCCAGUUUCAAUGACUAAAAUACAUAAAAUAUUUGCUCAAACAUACCAGUAGGUUUAGUAUCAAAAUAAAUGUCAUAAUAAUAAAGAAGAGAGUAUUUCUAAACUACCAAAACAGAAGAUGGAGCUACAAGUUUACUAUUCAUUAUGGUUCUAUAAUUGCGUACUUUUGAGUGUGAAUCAGUAGCUGUUGCGUCUAGCUAGAAUAACUUUCCAAUCAUCAUUCAUUAUAUCUGCCCACCAAUCAUUUUGUUUAGCAGUCUCAUCAGAUGUCAUAGCAGGACAUAUACUCUGGAUUUGAUUAUCAUCAGGUGCAGCAAUAUUAUCUGUGUAGAGUGGUGAAACAUCCAUAGAAGAUCUGAACCAGGCUGCCUCAGUGUGUGUUCUUGGGGUAGUAUCAGAUAGAGACUUGAAAGAUCCAAAACUGGAUGACUGAGAAAAUAUAGGGUGCAACCAUUGACUGGCUAUCAUGGUUAGACACAGAAUCAAGUGGACUAGCAGAGUAUCCUGAAUAUGGUGCCCCGAUAACACCAGCUCUUGGGUGCAAACUAGCAGACUAAUAUAUGUCAUUACGCAAGGGCAUAGAGUCAUCAGGCUUUGGGAAUAUGCAGUGGUCAAAGGAUUUGGCAGAAUAGACAAAGAGGAUGAAGGAUGACAUUGCUCCCAAAACUCUGCUCUUUUGAGACUGCAUCAGAUUAAAAGUUAAUCUCACGGGCAGCGGCCUCAGCUACUCCAAGUUCUCACGCCAGCUAGUCACCGGCGGCAAGAACCAGUUGGCUCGUAGAUCUACGAAAACCCUAGUGGAUCCAAAAACUACUGCAACAAAGGAGAUGAGGUGCCCUAACCUUCGAGACGGAUGACAAUGGCGGUAGAGGUGGAGAUGGCGACGGCGAACGAGGAACAAGACGGCGGACGAGGACCGAGACGGCGGCGGUGGAGGAGCGCCCGAGCUGACCCCUGCGUCGACGUCGGAAGCACAAGAGAGGCUAGCGAGGUGGAGGGAUGUCGCGGUGAUGCACGGAUGCCGGGGCGAGGACGGCCGGAUGCUGUGGCGGCGGUUGCGUCGUGAGCGGAGGAAGAAGCGUCGCGAGCCGCGAGCGGAGACGCCGGCCGAAUGGGUCGCGUAUUUCUUCCUCGUGGAAAUCGCUGGGAAGCGGGCUGCAAUUCUAGUCUUGGUGGGCUGCCAAAGGGUGCAUGAUUUUGGCCCAGAAAAGGCUGCCACGGGAGAGGCUGGCUCAGGAAAAAGGCCGAGAUCCCUGGGAAAUUGGGCUGCCAAAAGAGGCCUCAGUGUUGUGUCGGGGGCGAGCACGUCGGACACACCAUGGUCAUAGAAGCCUCACGUGCGUUCCCCUCUAUCAACGCUGCGAGCGCUGAUUGGCGGCACAACACAGUAGCAAGAGGGCGACGGUCGAGCGGCAUCACACCAAGGUAGCAAAAGAGACAACGGGUAUGAUGCUCUGCAAACAAGAUGGAUGGUUCGACUGGGAUCUGGGCCGCAGGAGGUUGCGGCGCGCCGGGAGGGGAGGAGCGGCGGUAGGCUGGCCAGAAGAAGAGGGAGGGCGGGGCUACAGUGGAGGAUUUGUGGGGGACAUACUGAGGCCGGCUGCCGAGCCAUAG
rnacentral:lncRNA from 1 species